rnacentral:lncRNA from 1 species
AUCGCGCCGCCGCCGCCGCCCCCUCCCACCUGGAAAAUCGAGUCCGCGACGAUCGGAUAAUACGCCGCCGCCGCCGCCGCCGCCGGAGGCAUCGGCAUCGGCAUCGGCGUCGGCAUCGCAGGCGUCGGCGUCGUCGUCGUCGUCGCAGCGGCCCGCGUCGGCUGCAGCUUCUUGCGCCGCUUGGCAGCCGAAUCCUCCCCUCCGCCUCCGCCUCCGCCGCCGCCCUCCAAGCCGGCGGCGGCCGACUGGGUGGGGAUCUGGAGGGUUCCGUCGACGGUGGUGGCGAUCGCCGGGACGGUCCCGGUGCCGGUGGCGGCGAUGAUGGCGGGCUCGGCCUGCUGCAGCAGCCAGCGGAUGGUCUCCCCGUCGGACUUGUGGCCCAGCUCCCUCGUCAGCUGGAAUAUCCGCGCCGCGCACACCGCCGGCAUCCGGAUGCGCCGCCCGCGGCCCUCCACCUUCGUGUGCCGGUCCCUGUUGCGCCCACCCCCCGCCUGCUGCUGCUGCUGCUUUCGUAUCAGCUGCAGGCUCCCGAACAGCUCCAUCGGCUCCGGCUUCGGCACGAUGAACCUGUGCAUCGGAACCGCCGCCGCCGUCCGAAGGAGCUCCUCCUCCUCCUCCUCCUCCUCCUCUUUAUCCUGCCUCUCCAACUCCAUAUUAUCACAACUGGUAACAACAGCUCUCUCUCUCUCUCUCUCUCUCUCACACACACACACACACACACACGCACACACUCUCGCUUCCUUUCUUUCUUUCUUUCUCUCUUUCUUUCUCCUGCGAUAAAACCUAAUAUACAGUGGAGCCGCCCCGGGGUGAGAGGAGGCGUCCUCUCUCUCUAUAUCUCCUUGUUUUAGUCUUUUAUUAUCAUCUAUCCGCUGCUUCCUCUUUCCUUUCGCCCCGCCCUCGGUGGGGCCCACUCCUCUUUCGAUCCAACGGCGCAGGAGCCACGCGGCCCCACCGGCUCGGGCACCCGAAUCCCGAAAAUUCUUCGGUGUAACGCUCGAAUGUGGCCCGGCUUGUGGGGCCCACGCGUGAACAGCUACGAGUGUAUGCGCUCUACCUACAAUAUUGUGCUGGAAUGUAUGGUCCGUUUGGAUCCACGUUGCCAUAAAUAUAACAUAAUUAAAAGAAAAACCUUCGCAUACCACCGUGUGGUUUCACAGUCAUUUUAGUGCCCCGUGGUUCAAAGUGUAUUAAUUUCACUAAUUUUUUUAUUAUCAAUUUUAUUAUUUUUUUUGUUAAAUUUAUGAUAAAGUUAAAAUUAAGAGAUACUAAAGUGAAUAUUCGAUAAAUCUAAAUGAACUAUCUGAAGUGUUUUGUAUAUAAUUUAACAAAAUAUUAACGAAAAAACUGACGAAAAGAUAAAAAUGAAACUACAAGACACUAACUUAAUACACUUUAAACCGUAGGGUACUAAAGUGAGAAAGUACGAAACUACAGGGGUGGUGUUUGAAGUUUACCCUAAUUAAAAUUAAAAUUAAAAUUUUGGUUCAUUUCUUUUAGAAUUAAUUUCAUACAAAUCGCUACAAAUAUAAUAUUCUAUGAAAUUCAAUUUUCAUGUAUUGUUCUUAUAAAAAGUCUAAUAUUUUAAAUAUAUCCAUUUGAUUUGUUACCGUCAAAAUAAUAUUUAUUUAUAAAUAAAAUGACCUUUUUACCAUUAUAAAUAUAUCGCUCUAAAAUUCCAACUAUUAAUUAAAGAAGGGUAAGAAGGUCAAUCCACUUAAUUAAUUAAUUCGGAUUAAGUGUUUUAUCUAUGAUUAAUUAAUAUUUUCUAGUGGACCCUAACGGUCUAGUCGAGCAUUGCGCUAAAAAUAUUACAGCUAGAUUUAUUUAUAUUUUAAUUAUUUGAUAGUAUCCAGUUAAAAGUUUUAUACUUAAAAAUAUCUUUUUUUUUUUUUGGUUUAGGGUUGAGAGGUACGUUAGAAGAUUAUUUUUAUCCUCUAAUAAUUUAAUAAAAUUCUCCCUAUGGACAAAUCUAUUUACAAGAUGAGUGGUAGAUAUGGGUUUUUUUUAAUAUAAUUACUCUUUUAGUUGACUGUAUUUUUAAUUAUAUUAUAACACGCUUGGUUCAAAAUAGAAUUAAAAAUUGGAAUAGGAACAAGAACGGACCAGAAUAAAAACAGUAUAAUAAAAACUCACAAGGCAUAUUUGAUUUGAAGGAUUUGUAAUUUAGAAUGGGAAUUUUAAUGAUUCUUUUUCAUUAUUGGUGUUUAGUUUGCAAGAUUAAUAUUCUGAUUUUCAUUUUGAAGGAAAUCGAACAAAUAAUUUUCUCCAAUAGAGGUAAGAAUCAACAACUUUGAUUUCGAAAGGAAUUGAAAUAUUUUUUUUUUCACCAAUAAUUAUUUAAAUUUAAAUAUUAAUUUAUAUUUAAGAUUGAGAAGAAUUAAAUUUAUUUCACAAUUGCUUUUUCUUGAUACAAGGCUGAACAAAAUAGCAUUGUUUUAGAUGUGUAUCAAUAAUAUAUAGAGGCUUUUGCUUAUUUACUCUUUACUAUUAUCCAAAAUUUUUAAAUUUAUUUUCAAAUUAUCAAAAUAUUCUUCCAAAACAAAUUCUAUUUGUGAACCCUAGAAGAAAUUGAAAUAUUUGAAGAAAUUUUUCAAAAUUAAUAAAGAUAUUUUGGACUUUCAGGAAUAAAUAAAAUAUUUUUGAAGUUUUAAAAGAAUAUAUUAGAUAUUAUCUCUUAUAUUAUAUGUGGAUUACUCUGAAUUUUGUAGAUUUUUUAUAAAUGAUACUGCAUAACAAUUAAAUGAAUAACAAACAAAGGUAUGAGCUUUUGUGUGUUUUAUUCUAAAAUUACAUAUGAUUUCGAACAUUUUAUUGUAUUUUAUGUUUCUAAAAUAGAUACAACAAUACCCAAACAACUUUUUUCAAUUCAUGUUUAACCUCCAACAGCCCCAUUUCCUGUCCAAAAAAUAAAGUACAAAAACAAAAAAAAAAAAAAAAAAAAAACAUGCAUAAAAUUUGUUAUAGUUUCGUCUUGAACAAAAACUUUUAGCCAAUUUGCAUAAAAAAUUCACAAAUUUUUGAAUUUUUGCAAAACUGAGCUGUCUUUUUUUAUUUUCCAGAUUCGGACCGAAUUUUUAGAAAACUAAUCAAAAUAUCCAUAUUUCGUUCUCUCGUUCUUUUUUUUUUUUUUUUCUCUCGUUCUUUUUNUUUUUUAUUCCCUCUUCGAAGAGAGAGACGGAGGCGGCCCGCCUCGCCUCUUCCCCUUGCGCCCUCGCCCGCAUUCGCGCACUACCCGCCUUCCUCACCUCCGACCCUACCAAGGCUGUGCUCGCCGCCGCCUUUUGGGACGCCCCUCCUUGCCUCCGUCCCAUGCGCCCUCGACCGCGCCCGCUUACCCUACGCUCUCCUCUCUUCCGACGCCGCCGAGGCUACGCCAUGAUUCUCUUUUCUUUCUGUCCAAACCUUCUCUACAGCCUCUGCAGCCCUUUGCGACCCACCUCCACCUCCACCGCAGCAGAUUUUUCACCAAUCAAACCCACUUCUGGGAACCCGCCGUCCUUACCACCGUCGCCGACAACAAAAAGGAAGCGCUACUCAGCGCCAAGAAGCUCGUUGGUAAAAGAUGAGGCACGCGACACACCGCGCCCAUCCGGGGUCUGCAACGAUCAUGGUAGAGACGGAGGAGAGCGCGACGACAUCGAAGAAAAGGGCAGGGCGGCUGCGAGCGCGGCCUCGGUGAGGUCGGAGGCGAGAAGGGCAGGGGGUGCACGGGAGCAUCUUUGGUUAAUUAUUUUUGUUUGUUUAAAAUAAGAAAAAUUAACUAAAAAUAAAAAAACUAGAGAAUAAGAAAAACGAAUUGGAGAAAAAGAAAAAAAAGAUGAAAUUGCACUGUUAAGAUAAAAUUACAUUAUUUUAAAAAAACGUUGCACUAUUAUAGAAUUAAGUUGCACUUUUUGAGAUGUAAAUUGUAUUUUUUAAGAUGAAAAUUACACUCUUUAAACAAAAGUUACACUUUUUGUGAAAUAGUUAUACUAUUUCUCCUCCCAAAAAGUAUUUUUUAAGAUAAAAAUUACAUUUUUAAACAAAAGUUGCACUCUUUGAAAGAUAAUUGCACUAUUUUUCCUCCCACAGAGCACCCUUUAGGAUGAAAAUUAUACACUUUAAAUGAAAGUUGCACUUGUUCAGAGAUAGUUACACUGUUUCUCCUCACAACGAGUGUAAUUUUUAUUUAAAGAGUGUAACUUUUAUCUUAAAAAGUGCAAUUUAUAUCUCAAAAAAUGCAAUAUUCUUCUAAAAUAGUGUAACUUUAUUUUAACAGUAAAAUUUCAUUAUCUUCUUCCUUUUUCUCUAGUUCUUUUUUUUUUAUUCUUUAGUUUUUUAUUUUUAAUUGAUUUUUUUUUAAGCAAACAAAAAUGUUUAACUUGAGAUGCUCCCGUGCACCCUCCACCCCUCUCGCCGAGGCCGUGCUUAUCGCUGCCCUUUGGUACGCUGCGCUCGCAGCCGCCCCGUCCUCUUCUCCGGCGUCGUCGUGCUCUCCUCCGUCUCCACAUCACUCGUCACCAGCCCCGGGUGGGCACGGUGGGUCACGUGCCCCCUUCCUCGCCAGCGAGUUUCUUGGCAUCGAGAAGCGCUUCCUUUUUGUCGUCAGCGAUGGAGAAGACAGCGGAUUUCCAGAAAUGGGUUUGGUGAGUGAAAAAUUUGCUGCAGUAGAGAUGGAGGUGGACGUGGGUCUUGAAGGGCCGUGGAGACGGUGGAGGAGGUUUGGAGAGAAAAAAAAAGGGGAUUGGGCGCAGCCUCAGCGGGGUCGGAGGUGAGGAGGAUGGGGGGUGAGCAGGCGCGGGUAAGGGCGCAGGGGGCAGAGGCGAGGUGGGCCGCCUCCGCUUCCACCUCUCUUCGUAGAGGGAAAAAAAAGGAGGAGAGAAAAAAGAAAAAAAAAGAAAAAAAAAGAAAAAAUGAAAGGAAUAAGAGAGUAUUUUGGUCGGUUUCUGAAAAUCCGAUUCGAAUAUGUAAAAUAGAAAAAUACGGUCCAGCUAUGCAAAAGUUCAAAACUUGUGAAUAUUUUAUGCAAAUUGGCCAAAACUUUUACAAAAUAUCCAACCAAGCCUUUAGUGCCCUAUAUAUUUUUACGCAAACACUGUACUACCUAUAUGAUCAUUAAAAAAUCUUAAUUUUUCUAUAGAAUAAUUAUUUAUUAUUGUGUCUAAGUCAUUUUGAUGGAAAGAGUAAAAUAAUUUUUUUCACAAAAAUUAUAUUUUACAGGUGCCAAAAUUCCUUUUUCUUUUGUUUUUUCAUCACCCAUAGAUCUUGUAACCGCAAAAUCCUUCCAUAAAAGCUAUCGACUAUAAUAAUAAAUAAUAAUAAUAUAUAAUUCGAAAAUUUAGAGGCUGUGUACGAAACCACGCCAUUUCUUUUUAAAAAUUACAAAUUUUAAUCAGAGAAUAAUAAAAAAAUUGUGACAGGAUGUGAAAAUAGCCAUUUCUUACCAUUAAGGCCCCGUUUGGAUACCUCUAAAAACGUAGCAUAGUUAAACUAUGCUACACUGGUAGGAAAAUAAUCCUAUGAAUCGUUUGGAAGAAAAAAAAAUGACGUAAUUUUUGGAGUAUAGUUAUACUAUACUCCAAAAAAUGGAAUAAACUUACAAUCCACUUUAACCAAAGGAAAAAAAUUCCACCAUUUUGGGCUCCCAAAGAUGUAUCAAUUUUUAAAUUUUAAAUUUCAACAUAAAAUUUUAGAUUUCAAAUUUUAAAAUUUUAAAAUUCAAAUUUAAUUUUGAUUUUAAAUUUCAAAUUUUAAAUUUCAAAUUUCAAAUUUCAAAAACUUCAAAUUUUAAAUUUUAAAUUUCAAAUUUCAAAAACUUCAAAUUUCAAAUUUCAAAUUUCAAAUUUCAAAUUUCAAAUUUCAAAUUUCAAAUUUCAAAUUUCAAAUUUCAACUUUCAAAUUUCAAAUUUCAAAUUUCAAAUUUCAAAUUUCAAAUUUCAAAUUUCAAAUUUCAAAUUUCAAAUUUCAAAUUUCAAAUUUCAAAUUUCAAAUUUCAAAUUUCAAAUUUCAAAUUUCAAAUUUCAAAUUUCAAAUUUCAAAUUUCAAAUUUCAAAUUUCAAAUUUCAAAUUUCAAAUUUCAAAUUUCAAAUUUCAAAUUUCAAAUUUCAAAUUUCAAAUUUCAAAUUUCAAAUUUCAAAUUUCAAAUUUCAAAUUUCAAAUUUCAAAUUUCAAAUUUCAAAUUUCAAAUUUCAAAUUUCAAAUUUCAAAUUUCAAAUUUCAAAUUUCAAAUUUCAAAUUUCAAAUUUCAAAUUUCAAAUUUCAAAUUUCAAAUUUCAAAUUUCAAAUUUCAAAUUUCAAAUUUCAAAUUUCAAAUUUCAAAUUUCAAAUUUCAAAUUUCAAAUUUCAAAUUUCAAAUUUCAAAUUUCAAAUUUCAAAUUUCAAAUUUCAAAUUUCAAAUUUCAAAUUUCAAAUUUCAAAUUUCAAAUUUCAAAUUUCAAAUUUCAAAUUUCAAAUUUCAAAUUUCAAAUUUCAAAUUUCAAAUUUCAAAUUUCAAAUUUCAAAUUUCAAAAAGUUCAAAUUUCAAAUUUCAAAUUUCAAAAAGUUCAAAUUUCAAAUUUCAAAUUUCAAAUUUUAAUUUUAUUUUUAAUUUUUAAUUUUCAAUCUUCAAAAUUUAAAUUUAAACUUAAAUUUAAAAUUUUAAAUUUAUAAAUAUGUAAAUUUAUAAAUUAUUAAAUUUGAAAUUUAAAAUUUUAAUUAUAGAUUUUUUAAAUUUCAAAAUUUAAAGUUUAAAUGGUAUACUUUAAGUUUUAAAUUUUAAAGUUUCAAAUUUCAAAUUUGAAAUUUGAAAUUUCAAAUUUCAAAUUUCAAAUUUAAAACAUAAAAUCUAAUUUACUUUUUUAAUUUUAAAUUUUAAAUUUUAAUUUUAUAUUUUGAAUUUUUAAUUUUAAUUUUUAGAAUUUUAUUUUUAAAUUUUGAAUUUUGAAUUUUGAAUUUUGAGUUUUGAAUUUUGAAUUUUAAAAUUUUAGAAAUUUAAUUGUUAUAAAUACUGUGGAAUUGUAUGAUAUGUAUCCAAACAACUUAAAAAUGAAGCUGUGAAAUUUUUUUGUAGUUACAGGAUUUCGUAUUUCAUUUAGACCAAAACCAUAGAAUAAAAAUUCUAUGGAGUUUUUUAACUAUGCAUCCAAACAGGGCCUAAAUGUUGUCUAGUGUUUGCUUAGGCAUUGUUUGAAUAUAUAAAUAAUUUACUACUCAAUUUAAUUUAUUCUAACUUAGACUCUGGUUGAAUAUUGGAAUAAUAUUAUUUAAUGAUAAUAUUUCAAGAGCUAGGCUCCUAUGCUUUCGUCAAUACGGAGGUCUCCGUGCUUGUAAGUUAUUUUCGAUGAUGGAGCAUUCGAUUUGGCGAUCGACUCCGCUAGACAUGAUCUACGCUAUAGGAACUAUUUAGAAACCAAAUUUCAUAAUUUUUUUGACUUUAUUUGCCUAGUGAAUGAGUAGGUUCAAAAUAAACGGCUGAAAAUAAAAAUCUCACAAAAAAUAGUGAUAAAGAACUCAAAUUUCAAAUCAAAAGUAUUGUUCUUUCUCUUGAUGUUAAGUAGAAUUUUCUAUUAAAGUUUCAUAUAAUUUGGAUUCUUCUACACCGUUGAACUUUAAAACGCACCACAUCGGCUGUUAAAAUAGGCAUUUUUUAGACUCUCUGAUCACUUGGUAAAUGAUGUCAAAAAAUUAUAAAAUUUGGUUUCUAAAUAGUUCUAAUAGCGUAAAUCAUACCUAACGGAGCCAAUCGCCGAAUCGGAUGCUCCAUCAUAAAAAACAACUUAAAAGCACGAAAGCGUCUGUAUUUUCGAAAGUAUAGAAGACAUACUCAUAUUUCAAUAUGAAACUACGAAAGUUUCUUUUUAUGCGAUUGAAAGUAAAAGAUUUGACUUUUGAUUUUUGAUUUUUGAUUUUUGAAACAGCCUAGCAUCCAUGAUUUUGUAUAAUUUCAUAUUUCAUCAGUAAGUUAAUUUAUCCUAUUCUAAAAGAAAAAUUGAAGGUAAAUUAAGAUAUUCUAUUCUAAAUAUUUGAUCACACAUCUAAUCUACCAAAUAUUAGAAGUUUCUUGAGUAAAUUAAAGAAAUAUACGGAACAAAGUGUUCAUGCAAGAAGCUCAUAGUAUUUGAUAAAUGAAGAGUAUAAUUAAAUAUGUAUAAUGGCAUAGUAUAUUCAACCUUAAAAUUAUUUUUUUUGAAUUUAAAUAAAAUCAUCUUGUAUGCGAAAUAUAUUAUCUUAUUAAAUCAUAGAUCUUAACACUUCUUAAGACUUACUCGAAUGUCAGAAUAAAUUAUUUGAUGAUAAUUUAUUCGGUUAAAUAUUUUUUAUGUGAUUGUUAUGAGUUUAAUUUUUACUCAAUAAAAAAUUUUGACAUCUAUAAUUUAAUAAAAUAAUAUAUUUUACUUAUGAGAUAAUUUAACUUAUUCUGAAAAAAAAAAAAGCCCGAGAGCUUGAAUAUACAAUUCAAUUAGAUAUUUGACUGCACUUUUAAAAUUCAGUUAGUACUAAAAUUUCUUAUAUCGGAUGGGAUCUUAAGGAACAAAAAUCGAACUCUUAAGCUCCAAUCAUACAAAAAAAAUACCGACCGUCCCUAGCGCAAGUGACAAAGAGCUUGCUGGUUGGUACCCAAGAUCCCAACGUCGAAUCCUAAUUAAUUCACAUUUCCAGCUAAGUUUAUUUCUAAAUGAAAUAAACGAAACGGGUAGCAUACUACUUAUCUCUCAAAAAAAAAAUCAUACAAAAAAUAUAUAUAUACUGAAUAAACAAUUAUUGAUAUAUUAUUCCAAUAUUCAUAUGUAAAAAUGUACGUAACUUACCUGUACUUUUAACUAGUUUUAAUUGGUUAUCCAACCUUUUCAAUUUGUUUACUUUUAAUCAGUCAACGACAGUUUGUAUUUUCACAUAUUUAGUAUACUUCAUGUAAUUCUCAGAACUAAUAAUUUUACUGAAAUAAGUAAUUAGCUUAAAUUUUAAAGUUAGAAUAUUGUUAAUUGAUUCAACAGAAAAAUUAAAAAAUUGAAUAGUAAAAUUAAAAUUUUGAAAGACUAAUUUGUUGGUUCAAAAUAAUUCAUAAUUUAUAUAAGCAUCUAUGAUUUUAUGUAUUUAUUAGAUUUGUAAAUUGAAAAGUUUAGAACCAAAUCUUAUUAUCGAGAUAGUACGGGCACUAACAUGCUAUUCCUAGCCAGAAAGAUGAAGGAAAAAAAAAUUAUUUGUACAAUCUCAAUAUAUAUAUAUAUAUAUAUAUAUAUAUAUAUAGAGAGAGAGAGAGAGAGAGAGAGAGAGAGAGUUGAGCUAGAAUACAUUCAAAAGCACCAAUGAGAUGAUGCUUUUGAGUUUUUAACCAUUGGAUGGAGAUAUGUAAGAUUGUGAUGAUGGUGGUAGGUAGUGGUAUGUGGAAUAGUGUUUGAUCCAAGGGCUAUUAGUAAUGAAGGAGUAGAUCCAAAGGCUAGAAAUCUGAAAACACCAAUGGGGUGAUACUUUUAAAAGUAUUCUAGCUCAAUAUUAUAUAUAUAUAUAUAUAGUAUAUAUAUAUUAUAUAUAUAUUAUAUAAUAUAUAUAUAUAUAUAUAUAUAUAUAAAAUUGAGUUCCUAUGCUUUUAAAAAUACCAAGUUGUUGGUGCUUGUAGAGUAAUGAGUGGGUGGUUGGUUGAAUAGUAUAAUCUAACGGUUGAAAAUGAUCAAAGCCAUAAAUCUAAUGGUAAAAAAUUUACAAGCACCAAGUAUUUCGUGCUUUUACAAGCACAUAACCGGAAUAUAUAUAUAUAAUAUUAAUAUAUAUAUAUAUAUAUCUAUAUAGAGUCCGGUACUAUGCUAUUAAUUAGCAUGAAGCACUUGUGUCUACCAAGUUUUCUGCCGUUAGAUCUAGCCUCUUGAUCAUUUUCACCCGUUAGAUCAUACUAUUCAACCAACACCCACUCAACCCUUGGGGCCCAUCAUCCUAACGCACAUCUCUUAAUCCCAAUAGCAAAAAACUUGGUAGCACCAAUGACUUGGUGCUAUUAAUAGUAUAUUAGCCUAGUAGUAUAAUAUAUAUAUAUAUAUAUAUAUAUAUAUAUUAUAUAUAUAUAGAGCUAGACUUACUAUACUAUCUAUAGUACGAGCUCAGUAUAUAUAGUGUUGGUUUUCGAUCUUAGGGCGUUCAAAUCAACGAUCCAUACCGUUAAACUGAUCUAGGGUAUUUAAAGUUUCUAGAAAUAAAAUUUUAUAUUUUUUUCGACAUAGUUUACUUUAUGAUCAAACUAUUUCAAAAUUGUCAAUUUCAAACGGCUAUUAUGACGCGUUUGGAGUUUAGACGGUGUAGAAGAAUCUAAAUUCUUCAAAUUUUGAUAGAAAUACUUUAAACUAUAUAGAUCAAAGUUAACAUUCUUGAUCUUGGAAUUUAAAAGUCCUAUACUCAAAUUUAAAGAUUAUUCAAUUUCACCGUCCAUUUUGAUAUAAUUUAUUUACUAAGUAAACGAUAUCGAAAAAACUAAAAUUUAUUCCUAAGAAAUUUAUAUACCCUAGAUCAUAUUUAACGGUGCGGAUCAUUGAUUUGAACGUCCUAAGAUCGAAAACAAACACUAUUAGUACCGGACUCGGUACUAUAGAUAGUAUAGUAGUGCCUAAUUCUAUAUAUAUAUAUAUAUAUUAUAUAUAUAUAUAUAUAUAGGGUUCGGCUACUAUGCUUUUAAUAGGAUUGGGACUGUCCUUAUCAAGUCGAUUUGAAUGAUCGGAACUUUCAAUUUGAUAAUCGGCACCAAUUGAAGUUGAUUACACAAUUAGAAAUGUUUUAGAACCAAAUUUUGUAUUAUUUAAAAAUCAUUAUCAAGUUCAUCUUAAGAGUUGAAAAUGAACGGUUAAAUGAAUAACCUUCUUAAAAAUAGAGGUUAGACUUUCUUAGUUCGUAAUCAGAGUUAUCCAAACUUAUCUAAAUAGUAUAAAGAUAUUUUCUAUCAAAAAUUCAAGCAAUUUGGAUUGCUCUACAUCGUUAAACAAGCAAACGGCCUCAUAUAGCCGUAAAAAUUGUCGAUUUUUACGGACCUUUGAUCACCAUGUAACAUUAUCAAAUUUAUGAAAUUUAGUUUCUAGAUAUUCAAUACUCUAGAUCAUUUCAAUGGCCUCCGAUCAUCGAUUCGGAAUCUCGAUCAUCAAGAACAAUUGAUAAGAUAAGUUCUCCUAUCCUAUAAAUUGGAUAGUAGCAUUACUACUAUAUAUAUAUAUAUAUAUAUAUAUAUAUAUAUUAUAUAUAUAUUAUAUAUAUAUAUAUAUAUAAUAUAUAUAUAAUAUAUAUAUAUAUAGCUGGUAUGCUUAUGGAAGCACGGAGCCCUCCGUGUUUCCAAGUUGUUUUCGAUGUUCGGACUUUCGAAUUGACGAUCGGCUCCGUUAGAGUUGAUCUAGAGUAUUUGAAGUACCUAGGAAAUAAAUUUUGUGAUUUUUCGAUAUCAUUUGCCUAGUGAUCGAAGAGACUCAAAAUCAAUAAUUUUAAUGACCGUGGUGAGCCGGUUGCAAGUUUAACGGUGUAGAAAUAUCCAAAUCACAUGAAAUUUUGAUAGAAAAUUCUUUAUACCAUAUAAAACAAGAUCAAUAACUUUGAUCUAAAAUUUUAAUAUCAUAUCAUCAUAUUUUGUAAGAUUUUUAAUUUCAGCCGUUGAUUUUGAGCCACUUCGAUCACUAGGCAAAUGAUAUCGAAAAAUCGCAAAAUUUAUUUUCUAGAUACUUCAAAUACUCUAGAUCAAAUCUAACGGAGCCGAUUGUCGAUUCGAAAGUCCGAACAUCGAAAACAAAGUGAAAGCACGGAGCCCUCCGUGCUUCCAUAAGCAUCAUAGCCGCACUACACACACACACACACACACACACACACACUAUCUAUUUAGAAUGGAAUGAUCUUUAUCAGUAAUAUUGAUAUGACUAGCAAAAAAAUUUUCAUCCAACAGCGUAUAAAGUGUACAUCUUAUUGCUGGAAGACUAAUAAAUUUGACAAGUAACCGACCGUCCCUAGAGCAAGUGGCAAAAGGCUUGGUGGCUGGUAUUCGAGACCUAAAUUCGAAUUCUAGUUGAUUUACAUUUCAAGCUAAAUUUAUUUCUAAAUAAAAUAAACGAAACGGAUAGCAUGCUAUCUAUUUCUAAAAAAAAAAAAAAAAUCUGGCAAGUGGGCCCCAC